UCCCCAUCCCCUCCCCGCACCCGGAAGCCAAGCAAGGAGGCGGCGUACAAGGAGCCGUGCUUGCAUCUCAGCAUCAUGGCGGGCUGCAUCGCCGCCAUCCGCGCCGCCCCCUACAUCCUCCACUACCUCACCUGCGAGCCCGGCAUGACGGAGCUCAAGCUCGAGCUCCAGGGCGGCCCCGCCGCCCCCGCCCCCCUGAGAAGUUGCUAAUCUGUUUACAACAUGGAUGAUGACUGUUGCAAACAUCAAAUGCAACUAACAGAGGACUGGGGGAAGCACUCAUCUCCGUGCUCAAGCGUGUGCCGGUCGGUCAACCUUCACCAAAAUAGUGGUUAGGACCAGUUUGACACGAUUGACUUGUCGGACAACGAGAUUGUCAAGCUUGAGAACUUCCCUUUCAUGAACCGCACAGGGAGCCUGCACCUGAUUACAACUUACAAUGAGAGGGAGCAGGUGACGCCCAGCCCCCAGGGAGCUCUGCAUCCAAGUCUCGGCCGUCCUCCGCGGCAAGGAGCUGAGCUAAAGGAGCAAGCAGCACUGCUGGUUCCUUCGAGGAUGCGUGCUCCUGGUCGAGUCUUGUGGAAAAGCAGGGCGAAUCGGGCAUCGUCUCACUUGUGCCGUUGUGGUGAAUGAGGUUUUCAAAUGUUGAAGGAGGAGGACAACAGGAAAUUCUGUUAUGUCUUAUCAUCUAAAUUUCUGUUUUAAUUUUCUUUGUCGUAGAAUAGUUUUGUUUGGCACUUACUGUUCCUGGGAUGUAAAGAUAUGUAUUGGUGGAAUGAAUGGUUGUAAUAUUAUAACAUUGCACGUUGCUUUGAAAAUGUAUCAGAACUGGGCUAGGCCCAAGAUAGCUUGUGGUGUGAUGUGUUGUAAUGUCAAUGGCAUAAUAUUUUUUUUGGA